rnacentral:lncRNA from 1 species
AUGUCGAGUACUGGUUCCGGAUGACAUCUAGUCAUUUCGGCCAGCACAUGGAUUGGAUUUGAAGUCUCCAGCCAAAAGACUCUCUUGACUGAAGACUUGAGGGACUUCUGUUUGUACUAUAUAUUGGGCUUUAGUAUUUAGGCCUCAGAACCUAGCCCACUAUGUAUGUAGGAGAUGAAGGAAACCCUUAUUCUACAAAAGAGAUCAUUCACCCUCACUGGAAGGGGAUAGACAUAUAGUAAAGGGAAGCACAAAGGGCAACACACAAAGAGCUCCCUUACUUAUCCAUUGUAAUCCACACAUUUACAUAGUGAAACAUAAUCAACACCAGUGUGGACGUAGCCCAACUUGAGUGAACCAUGAUAUAUCUUUGUAACCCCGAUUUGUACAUCAACACAAUAAAUAGUGAUUAACAAUAAGAUUUGCCCUUCAUUAAAUAUAUAAUAGUUAAACAUAAUAAGUAUUCCAAAAGCUAUUACAUCAAAUGAGUGGCAAUCUCCCACUUGAACUCAAAGCCACCUUCCCAUGUAUCUAAUACCCAUCUUUU